UUUGGGACAGAGGGAGUAAUA
rnacentral:miRNA from 1 species